rnacentral:rRNA from 1 species
UACGUAGGGUGCAAGCGUUGUCCGGAAUUAUUGGGCGUAAAGAGCUCGUAGGCGGUUUGUUGCGUCGGCUGUGAAAUCCCGAGGCUCAACCUCGGGUCUGCAGUCGAUACGAGCAAACUAGAGUGUUGCAGGAGAGACUGGAAUUCCUGGUGUAGCGGUGAAAUGCGCAGAUAUCAGGAGGAACACCGGUGGCGAAGGCGGGUCUCUGGGCAACAACUGACGCUGAGGAGCGAAAGCGUGGGGAGCGAACAGG